UGCCCACAGUAGUAGAUAUGAUGAUUGGAUGAUCAUCAUAUCUACUACUGUGGGCA
rnacentral:miRNA from 1 species